rnacentral:rRNA from 1 species
GACGAACGCUGGCGGCGUGCUUAACACAUGCAAGUCGAACGGAUAUGCCCUGCUUUUGUGGUGUGCUCGAGUGGCGAAAGGGUGAGUAACACGUGAGUAACCUGCCCUUUACUUUAGGAUAACUUCAGGAAACUGGGGCUAAUACCGGAUCUGAGCUCCUGCUGCAUGUUAUGGGUUGUAACGUUUCGGCGGUUGGGGAUUGACGCGCGGCUUAUGAGCUUGUUGGUGGGGUAGUGGCUUACGAAGGCUUUGAGGGGUAGCCGGCCUGAGAGGUUGAACGGGGCCAUGGGGACUGAGAGACGGAGCAGAAGCGUACGGGAGGCAGUAGUGGAGAAUAUGACAGAACGGGGGGACGUGUGAGGAAGAAACUCCGGGAGCGGGAUGACGGCCUGUGGGUUGUAAACCGCGUUCGCAGGUGACGAAGCGUGAGUGACGGUAAUGGGUAAAGAAGCAACGGCUAACUACGUG